AAAACUAUGACGUCGAAAGCCAAAACACCCGAACCCAAAAACCGCUUCAAGGCAAUCAGCAUGCCGCCGAACGAAACAUGGAGAACAAGUCUCCGACAACGGAAAAGCAGAGGCAACGUGCAGAGGACACUCACGUCAACCCUCGAAGCGACCCCAACAGACUCGAGUAACACGCGUUUCACACGCCCGAGAGCAAGUCCAGGCUCAUCGCCACAGGUGACAAAAAGGGCGGCGGGCCCGUCGCGGGAAGGAUGAUACCUGAAGACUGGGAACGGAAGGCGCUGGAGCUGGGGCCGGGCACCAUCCAAACGUCGGGGAGGUUCGGGCCGAGCAGCUUCAAAUUCGAAGAAAGCGAAGGCGAAGAAGGCGAUGAUGGAGACGUCGACGAGUGGAGGGUCUUCCUUCCCAGCGACCGCCGGCUCGCCGCCCACAGGCCUCGCAUUGUGCGUGCUCUAGGAUGGGCGUCGCCGGCCGGCUCGCUCAACCACUGAAUGCUUCGGAUAACUUGGGAUGGGCGUCGCAGGUUCUUCUUUGCAAUUUCUAAAGUUCCAACCUUUAUGACGGGGACCUCCAGAUCCUGAAGGAAGUCGGCAAUUUCUAGCUCCGUCCUUUUCCCAGAAAAAUCCCACAAAAAAUCUCAAAACCCUUUUUCAUGAACACCAUUAUUCUAAACUUUUUUUUCGACUGACGGAUAUUCCGAACUUGCAUCGAUGAUCGAAAAAUGCUUUCUAUCCAUCUGGCCAUUUGAAAUCCGGCGUGGCAGCUCGUGUUAGGGCUGAGCGCGGUUCCCAGGUUACCCGGGAACCGGAACCGAACCGGAGGAGGGUCCUCCGGUUCCCGGUUCCAAGGGGGACCGGUUCCGGUUCUGGUUCCAAUUCCUUUUUUCUAGGAACCGGAACCGGAAUCGGAACCGGUCUCGGAACCGGAACCGGAACUGGUUUCGGAACCGGAACCGGAACCAGUUACUUAGGGCAGAAAAAGCUCGACCUUGGAUGUUCUAGUGACUUGUAUGUGAUGUUCUAGUUGAAUUUUGGCUUCGGCCUCUAAAUGAAAGUUGUAAAUGACUUCUUUGAGUAUAACAUACUCAAAUUUGGGACAAAACAAACAAGUAUAAGUGGGUGAAAUCGUUAUUCUUUGGAAAGACUGGAUCUGGAGAUUUUGGGACCGACCCUUGAUGAAUGCAUGGACUGUAAGGCAACCUUUUUGUCAAAAUUUCACUUCGGUUUCUUAACAAAAGUUGUAAAGGACAUCCUGAGGUACAAUAUAUAAAACAUUUAUAGAAAAAAAACAAGAAUAGGUAGGUGAAAUCGUGGUCCUUUGGAGAUGGUUAGAUCUGAAAUUACGGUAUAACGAACAGGGAUUUUAACCGUCCAUAUUUAAUUAUCUAGGAUGAAUUUGACUUCGAUGUUUUCAUGAAGUAUCUACCUUAUGUUCUUGGCUAUCACAUAGUCGAAUUUCAUAAUUUUUUAAGGUCAUUUGGGUAUUUAAUCGGAAAUGUUUCUAAAACUGUGUAAUCUGAUGUGUUCGGAGUUGCAAUGCGUGGACUAUAUCAUUUUUUAUGAGGUUCUUUUGGAAAUGUGUUCCGCAUGAAAUAUCUCUCUUCAUGUCUUCCCUACAACAUAUUUAAAUUUCGUAAUUUUUUUAGUUCAUUUGCCUAUUUAACCAAAAAUGUUUCAAAAACUGUGCAAGUAGAGAAUAGGAAAAGUAAAUCGAUUUUAUCUUUUAAUCCACAACGAAUUGGACUACGAUUUCUUCAUGAAACUUGUACCUCUAGGUCUUAAAUACAACGUGUCCAAAUUUCAGAAUUUUCUGAUUUCAUUUAAGGGUUUAAUCAAAAUUGUUUUCAAAACUUGUACCUCUAGAAAUUCUUGUUCUAGUGGUGUUUUAUUUCUACUUUCUAGUUUGCUAUUUGUUUUGAAAUUUCUAAUUAUAUUCUAUUAUUGUUGUGCAGUGUGAAGUUAAUGUAUCAAGAUAACAUGUCAAUGGGAAGUUACCGUGUAGUAUACGCGUACAUUAUAGUUUUUUUUGGUAACGUGCGCAUACGUUAUAUUUUUUUUUGGUAACGUGCGCAUAUGUUAUAGUUUUUUUUUUUGGUAACGUGUGUAUACGUUAUAGUUUUUUUGGUAAUGUGGGCGUACGUUAUAUUUUUUUGGGAUAACGUGCGCAUAUGUUAUAAUUCAAAUCUGAAAAUAACCAAAAAAAAAAAAGAAAAGGAACCUGUUGGAACCUGAAACCGACCCUGGAACCUGUGACAGGGUAGGUUCCAGGUUCUCGGUUCCCACGAGUAGGUUCCAGGUUCCUCAUUUUGAGGAACCUGUACCCGAGGGUAGGUUCCAGGUUCCGAACGGAACCGAACCGGAACCUGGAACCGCUCACCCCUAGCUCGUGUGACUAUAUGUGUGUGUUCGUUACCGUCUCAAAUUCGUUAAUUUGAUACUAUCCAGAAAUAUUAUCAUGUCAGACUUUAACAAUUACCAUAAACAAAGUCUAACAAAAGGUUUUAUUGGGUAAAUGGUACAAGCUUAAGAUUAUUGAUGAGACAAAAUAAAAAUUAGAUAUUAAUGUCCUUCGAGAAAAAUGUAUAGGAUUUUUUGUGAGCAAUUUACUAAUUUUAAGCAUCUCAAUCAGGGACGAGGUAGAUGCCGUUGCACAGUAAUGACUCUGGGGCAGUUUAAGGAAGAUGAACUGGAAACCAGAAAUAAACAUGCGUGAGGUUUUUCUUCUGUUGAAAGUCACCAGUAGUUUGACUCUGAAAGGCCCAAUAUAUGCAUGGUUAGAAUUCCUUCCAUAGAUGCAGAAGCUCAUCCGACCAGAAGGCCACUGCACCGGAAACACGUCCGCGAUUCAAUAACUUUUUCUCUCUGUUUGUCGAUGACCGUCGCUACAAUGUCAAAAUUUUUCAUUAAACCAGAGGCUUCUGAGCUAUGAAAAACCAUACUUCUAAGUUUGGAGAGAGGGAGAGAGAGUUCAUGUGGAGGAAAUCUAAAACUUGAACAGCUUAUGGUGUACUUUCAACACUAGUCGACAUGUCAAUGAUAUUCUAGUGCCGGUCCUAUGAAUACAUUUGCCAUUGCCACUGCUCACAGCUUCAUCUCCUUCUUCCGAAACUGAUGGCGGCUGAGGCCCGACAGCUUCACAUUCGUUCACGGCCUGGACAUGAGAAAAGGAAAUCAUAAGACUAAACUGGCAUAUACCAUUUUACUGCCGAAUCAGUACAGCUGUAAAAUGGUACUUUGGACAUUUUCUUAACGGAUAGAAAGUAUAUCCACUACUAAAUCCCAUAUCUGUGGUCAAGUGACACACCCUGGCUAAUAAUCUUACCUCGUCAUACUGAUGUAUCGAACUAUCUCUUAUGCCGUGUAGAUAACCUGCAGUGUAGGUAUACAUUGUCAGAUUUUUCAGCAAGGAAGCAAGAUGAGAAAAUUAAACACACAAUAACAAUUGUAUCAAUUAGGCACUCACUGGAGUAUGCAUCAUCCUUAAAUAUCAACAAACUGCGAGGCAUCAACACAACAGAAAAGGGAUGAUGGUUAUUCAACCAUUUGUCAGUCCCCGAGUCAAAAGCCCCAUUAAGCUCGUUAUCCUCACAACCACCACCAGAUGUAUCAGGGGACGUCCUCAAACUGGGAUGAGGGACAAAGUACAUUGUUGUAAGGCCUACUAAAGGGUCAGAAAAAGGCCAUGUUGUAGGCUCAAGUGCAGGGACAGGGAUUGGAACGGGCAAAACAGUAACAACAACUGAGUCCACCGUUGAGCAAACGAGAAAAAAAUAUCCUGUAAAUUGUAUAUCGCUGUAUUUGUCUUUUAUGAGCUGAAAUUUAAAUUUGUUAUGUGUUUCUUAGGUAAGAAGACGAGCAACUACACAAGUUGCAGAGGUUGUUCCCCCAAUUGUUGUUGUUGAAAAUGAUACACCACAACGAACAAGAGGAGCUCUUGGAAAAAAAUUAAAGUAAUAUGGUUAUGGGAUUUACACAAAUGAACAUACUGGAAUGACUAUUUUGAAUGUAAGAUUUGUAGGCCUCAUGCAUUUAAUUUGUUGUACUUCAAUUCAUUUGGUUGACAAUAUCGCUAUAUUCUUGUAGCCUGGGAGAAUUUCAGAGAUACUUCUCUCUCAAGGUGGGCCAACUCAAGAAUCAAGGACGCAACCAAAGAAGAGUGCUCCAAAAAAGAAGACAGCGAGUAUAGCUGUAAAACAGCUAUCCAAAAAGAACCCAACACUAAUUCCAUCUCCACCAAUGAUUGUGAGCAAUAGUGAUGAUAUAGACCAACACAUGAUACAUGCUUGAACAAAAAUAGCCAUUGUCAAGAACAAUGAAAAUGAGGUGAUAGAAAGCCCAGUUAAAGGACUUGAACAUCUAAUUCGAAAGAGUGCUCGGAUUAUGAAUCAAUUCGAAGCUCCAAUAGGAAAAUGAGAUCAGGGUGUUAUCCAUAUUGAUUGAUGAGAGGGUGCUAGAUAUAGUCUCUUUUUAUGUAGUGCUGGACAUAGUCUCUUUUCAUGUUUUUUUUUAGAAGGGUGCUGGAUAUUAUAUCAUUGAUGGUAGUUGCUGCCUGCAUAUUGUCAUUUUUUUUUUUUAAAGAUGGUGCUGAACCUUCAGUGAUUGGGGAGUCAAGUUAGACAUGUUUUUCUUUUGUAAACAAUCAAUCAAUGGCAAUAGCAAUAGCUGUUUCCAUUUUUGUUAUUUUCUCUUGUGUUGGUUUCGGCUAGUAAUGUUAGCAAGACAAUUAUCAGUUAUGUUGUAUUUUUUUUGCUGUUGGUGCAAUGUUCUUAUGGGGUUAAUAUUAUUUUUAGAUGUGUGCAUAUACUGUUGCUGGUUGGAGUUGUGAAUGCUAAUGAAUUUGUGGGGUUCUGAUUGUGUGUGCUGGUGCAAGAACAAUAUGCAAUUUUGAAUGCUAGUGCAUCUUGUUGCGUCAACACUUUUAUGGGCUAGUGCAAGAAGAUGCACCAGCAACCCAACUAGUGCAACAAAAUGCAAGAUGCAGCACGAUUGGUGCAAGUCAAGUGACAUUUGAAACUAAUAUAUUCUUUUUUAAAAAACUUAUGCAACACAAGUGAUCACUUUGUAAUCGUGAUUGUCACUUAAAUAAUCACUUUUAUAAAUAAAUAAAAAAAAUUGGCACUCAAGCGAUCACUAUUUACAACUUAUGGCAUUGAAAUGAUCAAUUGUGAAUUUUCCACCAUCCCUUAAUUUCGCCAUGGUUUACAGUUGCAGCAAACCAGCAAAUCGGCAAACCAGCAAACCAGCAAACCAUUACCAAAUAAAAAAUACAGCAAACUAUUAUAUCUAAAGCAAAAACUAACCAAAACAAAUAUUGACAAUACACAACUGAAUAAUAAAACUUUUAAGUGCUCACAACUAAUGCAUUCCAAAAGCACCUUCCAUUUUGCCAUGCUUUGCAGUUGCAGCAAACCAGCAAACCAUUACCAAAUAAAAAAUGCAGCAAACCAUUAUAUUUGAAAUAAAAACUAAUCAAAAUAAACAUUGACAAUACACAACUAAAUAAUAAAACUUUUAAGUACUCACAACUAAUGCAUUCCAACUACAACCUUCCAUUUUUACCAUAGAUUAAAACAAAACUUUCUGCUCCAUACAAAAAUUGCAGCAAAGCAAAAACACAUUUUACUUCCAUUUCCACAUCUUCGACUAUGGUAGACAUACAAACUUCUUAUCAUUACUUCACUACACAUUUGAAUAAAUUACACAAGAGAAUAACAACACAAUCAACAUUUGAUAAAAGUUUCUUUCAAUUUUCAGCCUUGAAACCUCCCUCUUCAAAUGGUCGACCAGAGAUAUUAAACACUUCAUUUGAGCUUGCAUUAAGUCAACAUCCUCCAACUCGUCCAUUAAUGUAGGUGGAGGUUGAUGUCGGCCUUCAAGUAACUCCAAGAUCACAUAUGUCACUCGAUCAGAGAAUUUCCUAUCAACCCAUUUGAAAUAUUUGCACUUCGAGCCUUCUUUAUAUCUGUCGUACAUAUGGAAUCAUCUCCUGGGAUUCAACUGAAUCCAAGAUGUUUUUCUCAGACUCGAUAACCCACAAUAACAGUAACAAUCACCAUCUAAUUCGCUUUUUUUUUUAUUAUAUAUAGGAAUGUGGGCCGCUGCUAAAGCUUCUGCCAUCCAUUUGCAAGAGCGAGCUGAUAAUUUUGGAAGAAAAUCAAAGUAUGCACUCGAAUUAGUUGAAUUAGGGAUUUAGGGUUUUCAACUUUUGGUUCUGGCCGAAUUUGGGGAUUUUGGGUUUCUUAUUUAGGGGAAAGGACGUUAAAUGGCAUCGUUUUGUUGUUUGUAUGAUGAUUGUAUUCUCUGGCGAUCCACGUCGGCUUCAAAAAUUAAUAAAAAACUGUCACGUUGGAUUUCCGGCCAACCAGAUUGGCAUUGACACUGAAAUGAUUGUUUUUCAAAAAUUUUUGUACUUAAGUGAUCCAACAAAAAACUUUUGGUACCAAAGUGAGCACCGUAUACAACUUUUGACACUGAUAAUGUACUUCCCUCAAUAAUAAUGAUAGUAUUCCGAUUAUUAAGCAAUGAGGAUAAUAUAAUCAAAGCACAUACCUCAUCUUCAAAGUCAAUCUCAACUUAACUUAAUUGAUUAACGAUUACAUUGAAUUCAUUAAUAUGAUUUGCAAUUGAUACACCUUCACUCAUCUUCAAGUUAAAUAGACGUUGCAUCAAACAAAACCUUAUUGAUCGCAGAGGGCUUCUCGUACAUAUCCAAUAUGGCUUUCAUCAAACCUGCAAUGGCCUUCUUCUUCAUGAUGUUCAAUGCGAUGUUAUGAGCCAACGUUAGUUGAAUAACACCCAUAGCUUGUCUAUCCAAUAGAUCCUAGUCAGUUUACUUCCUCGUCUCUGGAUUUACGUGGUUCAGUUGAAAUGACCUACAUCCACAGGAUGAGUAGCAACGAAUUCCACUAUAAAUCAAGCGAUAAAUGGAAAUUACAAUCACAUUCAAGUCACUCAAACACUCACAGUAUUUCCCAAGUCCUAAUUACAUCAAUAUCUCACGCAAUGUUUAACCUCACAAUUCCUCACAAAAUAGUCUCUUAAUCUCAUGAAGGAAUCAUACACAAAUUCUUGCCUCAAGAAUUUAAUCGACUUCAACACAUAAAAAUCUCUCGGUGUAAUUGCAUGACAAAACCAACACCAAGCACUCAUGUGAACAUCGGCGCUUUAAAACUCUUUAUGUCAAUUACUUCAGUGACCCUUGGAUAUCUUCAGUGUGUAAUUCACAAGCAGAAGCUCCCAUUUGAUGCACUUCAUGAAGAACAUCCUCUUCUUAUAUAUAGAGAAGAAUUAAAUUCAAAAUAGGAAACCUUCUCCAACUAAGAAAACCAUUCAAUUAGAAAAUCUAUACAAAAUAGGAAACUUUCUUUUUCGGACUCAAACUCAAGACAUAUAUUUAACAUGGACUAUCUUUAGACUUGACUAUUAAUGCGAUAGCCUGGUCCACUGCAUCAAAGAUAAUUUCACAGUAUUUUGUAAUAAUGAUAUGUGUGACAUCCUGAAAUUCGACCUUAUUUCGAUAAAAUGAAAAGUGCAUAUCGUCGACGCGCCUAUGGUCCUUUUUCUCUGAGCUGAUCACUCACGAGUUAACUAACCUAUUGGGUGAAGCCGUUAAGGGAUAUAUCCGCGGUAAAAUCCCUAAAAGCUACCUAAUUUGUUGGAUUGGACUAAAUCAUGCCCGGUCAAUUUUAAUCAUGGAAUUUGAUUUGGUUUCGGGAAUCAAAUAUUUGAGCGUGUCACAAUUCAAAUUUUUGAACCUUGUCUCAUCGUCCGUCAAAUUAUUGACGAGUCCGAAAUUUCAAUAAAAAAAUUAUUGGAGGAAAAAUCGAAGACCGAAAGAAAUAAGAAAGGGAAAGAGAAAAGAAAAAUAAAAUAAGAGCAAGGAUAUUAUUUUAUUUUGUUUUUCUCUCUCUUCCUCUUCUCUCUUUCUUCUCUCUCUUUUCUCUCUCCUCUCCCCUCCCCUCCCCUCGUGCGGAUUUUUCCCCCACCGAUCGCCCCUUCUGCUGUCUUCCACUUUGUCUUCUCUCUUUCUUUUUUAUUUUUUUGACCAGUCAAAACCCUUCUCUCUCCUCUCUCUUCUCUCUUCUCCCCCAUUCCCUUAUGACCAACUUCUUCUUCUUCGUUCUUCCUUGUGCGAACCAGACCAAAACCAGCAAAGAAGAACAGCAGCUCGCCGAGGACCGUCGCCGCCCGUCCCACCGCCGCACCGGAGCCGGACCGCCCGCCCGCCCGCCACUCGCUGCCGUGUGCCGCCAGCCUCGCUCCUUGCGCGACCCAGCCCUGUUCGCCCCUGCUCACCGCCGUCCCGACCCUCCGGCGUCCCCCUCACCUUCCGUCGGCCUCCCCUUGCCGCCCUAGCCGCCGGAUUAGCUCCGGCAAGCCUUGAACCGCAACCCACGAAGUGGGUUUCCAGCGGCUUUGGGCCCGCUUUUGGGCCGUUUCCGAGCCCCGAACCCGAGCCGUGCUUUGGGAAGAAUCCCUGAUUAGUUGUCUAAUUAUGCUUAAUGUUGGUUUAUUUUUAAUUAAUUAUGUUUAUGCUGUUAGAUUAGAAUAAAUUAGCAAUUAUUAGUCAAAUGUAAUGCGAUUUAGAUAAAUUGAUUGCGCAAUUAGCAAGUAAACGUGGUCUACUAAUUAUUGGAAGUGUCUCGGGAUUUUUCCCGACCCUUAGUGGGCUCCAAUUAGGCUUUUCGGGCCUAAGUGGAAUUUUUGGUAUUUAAAUAUUAAUUUUCGGAAUUAAAUUAAAUAAUUAUUUAUUUUUCGAAAAUUCAACUGAGAUGGUCCGGAACUGGAAAAUUAUGCUGAUGACCGUGGUGGAGUCCGUUUGUUUAAUCGGGCUUUAUUUUGAGCUAAAUUGAAUUUUUAAUAUUAAUUAUUUAAUUUUUGAAAUUAAUUAAUUAAUUAUUUAUUUUCCAAAAAUUCAAUUGAGAUGGCUAGAGACCGGAAAAUUAUGCUGAUGACCAUGGUGAAGUCCGUUUAUUUAAUUGAGUUUUAUUUUGAAUUAAAUUGAAUUUUAAUGUUUAUUAAUUAAUUUUCGAAAUUAAUUAUUUAUUUAUUUAUUUUUCGGAAAUUAAGAUUGAGAUGGCCGACGACCAAAAUCUCGUGUUGAUCAUCGUGGCGCGGUCCGUUUAUUUAAUUGAGUUGUAAUUUGUAUGGAAUUGAUUUAAUUAUGAAUUUUUAGGAUAUAUUCCUAAAUGGUUGUUGUUAAUUAUUUCAUUGAGAAAUUGUUGGGUAUUGAUUAUCGAUAUUGAAAGUGGUCGAGUGGGACUGUAAAGCCAUUGAAUAUCGAAAGUGGUCGAGUGAGACCGUAAAGCCAUUGAGUAUCGAAAGUGGUCGAGUGGGACCAUAAAGCCAUUAAAUAUUGAAUGUUGUCGAGUGGUGGACUGUGUCUUCCACCUUUGCUUAAGAUGUGAUCUGCAGAUCAUAAUUCGCAAAUGGGGAUUGAGAUGGAAUAAUCGAAUCGACCUAGAAAUGGUCCGACUGACAUGUAAUCGACUAAGUCGAUUGAACUGCGAUUUGACUGAGAAUGCAUGGAGAUAUAUGAAGUAUCUAUAUAUAACCUUCAAUUGCAGGUUGAGACUGAUGCCAAGGUACGUCUUCUGCCCCUUGCGUGUAUAGGCAGCCUAUAGUAUAAUGGUUUACUAAUCGAGACUUAGUGGGGUAGAACUCGCUGAGACGUAAUCUCAUCCCAGUUUGGGGAAAUCAUUUCAGGACCCCGUUGAGGAGCUGAGGAGGAGGAGUCUGAGAAGGAUUUUUGGAAGAAGAAGAUAAUCCCAAGAGGGGCCUUGAGUACGGCCCAGAUGGACUGAGAGUUUAUCUUCUUUUGAGAUCUCCUUUUUAAUGUGAAUAUAGUUUAGAGUAAAAAGUUGUGAAGUGCUUUGGUUUGUGUUUUGUAUAAAAGUUUGGUUAUAAGUUUCAAUAUGAAAAAUAUGGCCCUGCUUUUCUAUCCCAUUAUUUUGUUGUCUGGGGAUUUAUAAUUGCUUCCGCAUGUGCUUAAAACUUGAAAGGGUCGGCAAUACAGUCCUGGGAUAUCGCAUUUUAAAAUCGACCAAGUAGAAGGAUGUGUGCGUUCUCGAGGAUCGGGGCGUGACAAUAUGUGUAAAAGAAAGGAAACGGCUUAGUUGGCUGUUUUCAAUCAAAUGAUGGAGUGACGAUUAGCUUAAGACCGUACAUUUUCAACGGAAAGCCACCCCCCUUUUAUGUUUUCUUAUUGCAAGCUUAAAUUGAGAGAUAAAAUCGUAAAAGGGCCCACCAAUCAAUUUUCAUGAAUAUGAUGAAAGGAAAAAUAAAUUAGAUACCAAAAUAUAAAUAAUUACAAGUAAAAAAUAUCAUCACCUACUAAAAAGAAAUUGUUAAUGUCAUUAUAUAGAUCUAUUAAAUUUAAAAGAUGAAAAAACAUUUGAAAUGGUGGCAUCCUUAACUGGUUUCAUUUUUACUCUUUUUUUUUUCCAAGAUUUGUAUGAUUAUUUAUUGUAAGUUCAAAUUGAGAAACAAAUCAAAGUAAUAAUAUUCACACAAUAAGAAACAAAUCCUAUAGUACUAUUCAAAUAAUAAGAAAUAAAUAAAGAAUUCAGCUGCAACUUUUAAAAUAGUGAAUAUUACUCUCUGUCCAAGGAAAAAAAUUAUGUAAAUAUUGUUCCCAAAUAAAAAAAAAGUUAAUAACUCAAAAAAUAGGAAUGUAAUUAUGUUCUUUUUUUUUAUGCAGAAUGUGUAAUUAUCUUGUAUCCUUUGAACUUUUAUUGUUGUAUGAUUUUGUAAUUGAAUAAGUCAUAACUGUGGAGAAAGGUUCAUUAAUCUCUACUUUUCUUAUGGCAAGAAAGUAAGGGGUAUUCAUUGUUGUUGAAUUUUAGUUUGUAUCCAUAUAUUUUAGACAUAGAAUUCUUAAUUUUUCCUUGACAUCUCGUUCAAACGGAUGGAGUUCGAAUUGAAAGCAACUUCGCCAAUGAAAAUAAUGGUGAUAAUGAAGACGAUAUGAUCAAUGCAACCAAAGAUGCUAAUUAUGAAAGCGUCACGAUACCGGACAAGGUGAAAAUCGAACCUCGCAUAGGUAUGAAGUUUAAUUUUUAUGAUGAGGUUUAUGCAUUUUAUAACAAUUAUGCUAAAGAAGCGGGAUUUGGCAUUAGAAUGUUAAAUUUGUACCAAAAAAAAAAAAAAAGUAGCGAUGAAAAAUGUGGUGCAGUACUUUGUUUGCAAUUGUCAAGAGUACAAGAUCGAAAAGGAGUCGGUUAAGUCAAGACCCGGAAAAAAGAUUCGGGUGUCCACCAAUGGUUAGAAUAUAAAUAGUUGGGCCUCAUAAGUGGGAAAUAACAAAAGUUGUACUCAAUUAUAAUCAUUUUACAACUCCUCAAGGCACUAGACUCUUUACAUAAUACGGGAAUAUUGACUCCAGAACAAAAAAGAAAAAUCAAGUUGCAUUGUAAAAUUAUUUAUAUUUUGAUAUCUAAUUUAUUUUUUCUUUCAUCAUAUUCAUGAAAAUUGAUUGUGUUGGCCCUCUUACGAUUUUAUCUCUCAAUUUAAACUUGCAAUAAGAAAAUUAAAAAAAUUAAAAAGGGUAAAAGAUAGGAACUCGUUGAAAAGGUUUGUGCUCCUUAGCUGACCGUUGACGGAAGCUAACUGUCACUCCGUCAACGGUCAGCUAAGCCGUACCCUAAAAGAAAUUAGCAUGCGACAUGAUAAUACAUUUCCAAAUUUACCAAAGAUCCAUGUGUCAUCAAUCAAAAGUUGUCUAUUGACAAGCUCCUCAACCGGAGGCGUUAUCCUACUCAAGCUGGUUGAGGUGCCCGUGGCAAGUAGGUAAGAGGUGUUUCCACCAAUGAGAGUCGUCCUCAGUAAUCCCUUAAUGGGGCAUCCAAUAGGACUGCGUUUCUUUUUCUAACGUAUCAGUGCAUGCAUGCCUCAUGAUCCCAAGUUGCAAGUGAAUAUUUUUCUUCCACACUUUGUGGGGGAAUACCAACGAUUGCAAACCAAAGGUCCAAGUGUCAUCAAUCAAAAUUGGUCCAUUGAAAUUAAUCGUGGGACUUAGACUUGGAUUCAUAUGUGGACGAAGACCCAGCUGCAAGUCUUGGUCUUCUUGUAUUGUAGCCAUGACUCCGUCAACCACGGGCAUCCUCUUAGUAUUUCUUCUAGAAUAAGAAGCUAAUUUCCAAUAAUUAUCGUAUGAAUACGAGUCAAUCCCGUAUAUGCCUUCCAAAAUAGAAAUAAUUACGCUAGGAUUUAUGCUGAGUUGGAUUUAAACUUAUGAAAUUUAUGAUCUUUUUUUUUUCUUUUUUUCCAAGAUUUGUAUGAUUAUUUAUUGUAAGUUCAAAUUGAGAAACAAAUCAAAGUAAUAAUAUUCACACAAUAAGAAACAAAUCCUAUAGUACUAUUCAAAUAAUAAGAAAUAAAUAAAGAAUUCAGCUACAACUUUUAAAAUAGUGAAUAUUAUUCUCUGUCCAAGGAAAAAAAUUAUGUAAAUAUUGUUCCCAAAUAAAAAAAAGUUAAUAACUCAAAAAAUAGGAAUGUAAUUAUGUUCUUUUUUUUAUGCAAAAUGUGUAAUUAUCUUGUAUCCUUUGAACUUUUAUUGUUGUAUGAUUUUGUAAUUGAAUAAGUCAUAACUGUGGAGAAAGGUUCAUUAAUCUCUACUUUUCUUAUGGCAAGAAAGUAAGAGGUAUUCAUUGUUGUUGAAUUUUAGUUUGUAUCCAUAUAUUUUAGACAUAGAAUUCUUAAUUUUUCCUUGACAUCUCGUUCAAACGGAUGGAGUUCGAAUUGAAAGCAACUUCGCCAAUGAAAAUAAUGGUGAUAAUGAAGACGAGAUGAUCAAUGCAAUCGAAGAUGCUAAUUAUGAAAGCGUCACGAUACCGGACAAGGUGAAAAUCGAACCUCGCAUAGGUAUGAAGUUUAAUUUUUAUGAUGAGGUUUAUGCAUUUUAUAACAAUUAUGCUAAAGAAGCGGGAUUUGGCAUUAGAAUGUUAAAUUUGUACACACAAAAAAAAAAAAGUAGCGAUGAAAAAUGUGGUGCAGUACUUUGUUUGCAAUUGUCAAGAGUACAAGAUCGAAAAGGAGUCGGUUAAGUCAAGACCCGGAAAAAAGAUUCGGGUGUCCACCAAUGGUUAGAAUAUAAAUAGUUGGGCCUCAUAAGUGGGAAAUAACAAAAGUUGUGCUCGAUUAUAAUCAUUUUACAACUCCUCAAGGCACUAGACUCUUUACAUAAUACGGGAAUAUUGACUCCAGAACAAAAAAGAAAAAUCAAGUUGCAUUGUAAAAUUAUUUAUAUUUUGAUAUCUAAUUUAUUUUUUCUUUCAUCAUAUUCAUGAAAAUUGAUUGUGUUGGCCCUCUUACGAUUUUAUCUCUCAAUUUAAACUUGCAAUAAGAAAAUUAAAAAAAUUAAAAAGGGUAAAAGAUAGGAACUCGUUGAAAAGGUUUGUGCUCCUUAGCUGACCGUUGACGGAAGCUAACUGUCACUCCGUCAACGGUCAGCUAAGCCGUACCCCAAAAGAAAUUAGCAUGUGACAUGAUAAUACAUUUCCAAAUUUACCAAAGAUCCACGUGUCAUCAAUCAAAAGCUGUCUAUUGACAAGCUCCUCAACCGGGGGCGUUAUCCUACUCAAGCUGGUUGAGGUGCCCGUGGCAAGUAGGUAAGAGGUGUUUCCACCAAUGAGGGUUGUCCUCAGUAAUUCACUAAUGGGGCAUCCAAUAGGAUUGCGUUUCUUUUUCUAACCUAUCGGUCCAUGCACGCCUCAUAACCCCAAGUUGCAAGUGAAUAUUUUUCUUCUGGACUUUGAGGGGAAUACCAACGACUGCAAACCAAAGGUCCAUGUGUCAUCAAUCAAAAGCGGUCUAUUCAAAUUGAUUGUGGGACUUAGACUUGGAUUCAUAUGUGGACGAAGACCCAGCUGCAAGUCUUGGUCUUCUUGUAUUGUAGCCAUGACUCCGUCAACCACGGGCAUCCUCUUAGUAUUUCUUCUAGAAUAAGAAGCUAAUUUCCAAUAAUUAUCAUCUGAAUACGAGUCAAUCCCGUAUAUGCCUUACAAAAUUGAUAUAAUUACGCUAGGAUUUAUGCUGAGUUGGAUUUAAACUUAUGAAAUUUAUGAUCCUAUUGUCCAGUAUAUCAAACUCUUAAGCUGCAUUUGAUAGUGCUCUCGAGAUGGCCAACCCUUGUUUGGCCGGUUGUCGGCCGGCAACCGACUGGAGGAAGGAGAAGAAAAAGAAAAAUGUAAUAAAAUUAUUAAUAAAUUAAAAGAAAUUCUAAGUCACAAAAAUAUAAGAGGUCAUACCAAAUACAUUUCUUUAUCGGGAAUAGAAAUUUUAUGUAGUUACUAAACGCGUUCAAAUACUCUGAAAUUGUUCUGGGGAACAAAAAUAGAGAAAAAUGUUCUUAAAAAAAAUUAUUCCCCAGAAUAGAAACGUUAUCAAAUACACCUUUAGAUUAUGUGGAAACUCUUUUUCCUAUAUGAAUAUAAAGUGCCCAAAAGGAAAAUGAGGAUACAAAAUACUUAGUAGCAAUGUAUAUAUUGAGCCAUAGCCGCUAGGAUGGGGUCCGUUGGUCGCAUCCAGAGCUCGUGAUAUUAAUAUACUGCGAGCAGGCAUAUCUUCCUCACACUUCUCUCUUCAACCAUCUCCCCUGCUCGAUCACUAUGGGAAGAUUAACUACAGCUUUCUCGUUUUCUUUGCUUGCUUCUGUAGCUUUAGGAUUUGUCCUUUUGGUUCAAGCCCAGCAAAAUCCAGGUAUCUCUCUCUCUCUCUCUCUCUCUCUCUCUCUCACACGCACACACACACAGAGGAAGACAAAGCUGGCAAGUUCAUACUUGUGAAGGAAUUAUGAAGGCUUGAUGCGUGUCAUUUCUUUUAUCUCUCGUACUUCUUGUUCUAGGACAAGAGGAUCCGGUUCUCCGGUUCUCUCUCUCUCUCUCUCGGAGAUGGUUUUUGUUAAAAAAAAAUUUGGAUUUGUGCGCUACGGAAGCAUGAUUUUGGUAUUAGUUAUAGUUUUUGGUUUGUAAUGUUGUGUGCAAGUGCAUGGUAUAUUUUGUGGAGGAUGAAUAAUGGACAAAAUAAGAUAAUUGAAGAAUAUAGAACAUGAGAUAUAAGGAAAAAUAAUUUUAUUAGUUGAGCAAACUAAUUUGAUGAAAGUAUAGUGAAGGUCUAAGAUCUCUCAUGGUGGAGGAUUCACCCCACGCGCAAGGUAGAAGUAUUACCUCUCACACACCUCAAAUAAUCAAGUACAAGCCUAUUUAUAGACGUGAGUUCACUGCCAUAUCUACCGACUUUGAGUACAAUAAAAUAAUAUAAAAUUUCAGCUUGCGUUCCUUAGCUUAUGCUCGUGCAGCUUCUUCGGAUCUUUUGGUGGCUUCUCCAUUUUUCUUCAUUUUUCUAAUCUCAGCAGCUUUUGUUGACUUUUCUUUCAAGAUUUCCCAUGCACAAUUUCCCAUGCACAGACUUCUCUAGUUUGUUCUCCUUAAGCCGCUAUUCUUGACUUUUAUCCAAGGUUUCCUACUUGAAUCUUCUCCAACUUGUCUUAUGCUUGCUUGCAUUCCCACGUGAAUGUUAGUAGUUUCUAGAUUUUGUUGAAAAUGGAUCAUUAAUUUCCAACACUCCCCCUUGAUCCAUUUUCGAAAUAAUCCGGACUUGUGUUGUAAAGUCUCAAACAUACCUUGAAAUUUUUCUUGUAAUUUAUCCCAUGCCUUUUAUGUCAUCUUCAUUCCACGAUCCAUUGCUUUCUAUUAUCGAAACACUUGCACUUGCCUUUGAACAUGCAUGACUUUUCAUGUUCCAUAUGUCUCGGGGCAUCAAAAAUGCUCUUAGUUGUAGUUGUCAGCUCGGGCUCUGGCUCUAGCUUUGGUUCUCAUAGGCUCUGGCUCUGGCUCCGGCUUUGAUUCUAGCUCCGGCUCCAGCUCUGACUCUUUUGGCUCUCGCUCCGGCUCUGGCCUUUUUAGUUGAGGAUAGUGAGGACAAACGCCCAUAACCAUCCAAGUAUGGCUAGCUCUAGCUUCAUGGUCCCUUACACCUGGUUCAGUGGGUGCAUCUGACUCUGAUACCAUGUUAAAAAAAUAUUUAGUUUGUGCGCUAUGAAAGCAUGAUUUUGGUAUUAGUUAUAGUUUUUUGUUUGUGAUGUUGUGUGUAAGUACAUGAUAUAUUUUGUGAAGGAUGGACAAGGGACAAGAUAAGAUAAUUGAAUAAUAUAGGACAUGAAAUAUGAGGAAAAAUAGUUUUAUUAGUUGAGCAAACUAAUUUGAUGGAAGUACAGUAGAGGUCUAAGACCUCUCACGAUGGAGGGUUCACCCCCACGCACAAGGUGGAGGUAUUACCUCUCACACGCCUCAAAUGAUUAAGUACAAACCUAUUUAUAGACGUGAGUUCACCGCCAUAUCUACCGACUUUGAGUACAAUAAAAUAAUAUAAAAUUUCAGCUUGCGUUCCUUAGCUUCUGCUCAUGCGGCUUCUUCGGAUCUUCCGGUGGCUUCUCCAUUUUUCUUCAUUUUUCUAAUCUCGGCAGCUUUUGUUGACUUUUCUUUCAAGAUUUCCCAUGCACAAAUUUCCCAGGCACGAGACUUCUCUAGUACGUUCUCCUUCAGCCGCUAUUCUUGACUUUUAUCCAAGGUUUCCUACUUGAAUCUUCUCCAACUUGUCUUAUGCUUGCUUGCAUCCCACGUGGAUGUUAGUAGUUUCUAGAUUUUGUUAAAAAUGGACCACCAAUUUUCAACAGUUUUGAUAUGCCAUGAAAGACCCUCAACAUGUUGCAUGUCUUGAUUGGUUGUCUAGCUCUAGGAGUCAUCGCUCGCAGGCAACAAAAUCUAGGUUCUCUCCCUCGUCUCUCUCGCGUGCGCGCAUGGUGAUGAUUGAAUUGUGAAGAGUUGAGACACAAGGAAACGGUACUCAAGAAAAGGGCACAAUGAGGAUUCAAUGUUUACCUAUAUUUCUUUCCGUUAGCCAUCGACCUUUCAAGCAGAAGACUAAAUGUAGUCGUGCUCCAUUUUGAUUUCAAAAUUGAGCGCCUAGUAUUUAGGCAGAGUACAGGUCAAGAAGCUUUCACGGUUUCAGAGCUACGCAGAGCAAUCUCUUGAGCUAAAAUUUAGCAAUUUAGCAAAGUAAAGGAUGUUCAAGAUUCUCUAGGAGACAUUUACGAAUAUUAGGCUCCGUAUUUUGCUGAAAAUAGAUGAUUUGAAAAUUAUUCUAAAAAUAAUUGCUCGUAUUGCUUGAAAUAAUUAAUCAAUGAAAAAUAUCUUUAUUACCAAUAAUAAUAUAUAUCUAAAUAUUUUCAUAAAAGAUGGAAAUAUUUUUGUUAAUUAUUUUUUAUAAGUAGUAUAAAUGAUCAUUUCAGAAAAUUGUUAUCCAAAUAAUUUAUUGUACUCUAAACAAACGCACCCCCAGUGUAGCAUCCUCGGGCUCAGAUGACAUCUCUGUUUCCAAGCUUUUCACAGGUGCCUUUACCAUCAAAUUGUCCAUCAAAACUUCUUUUUAACUUACAAUUCCCAGCCCAAUUAUUACUGACGUAAUUUUCGUUGCUGAAAUAUCCAUCUAGUUGAUACGGUUGUAAAAAGGUUAGAUAAGAAAAUUUAAGGGACAUCGUAAAGAAUCAAAAAUAAAAUAAAAUUGAGCACUGUUUAUAUUUCAAAUUAAUAAAUAGUGAAGGGUAAGUGACUUUCUCUGAUUUCACCUUGACAUAGGUUUCAUAAGCAUCGAUUGCGGGAUACCUAAAGAUUACUAUGACUAUCAGCUCGAGAUAGACUACAAGGCCGAUGCUGGGUUUGUAGAUUCCGGAACAAACAUGCCGGUGAACACCCAAACCAACUACCAACAACAAUCAAAGAAUCUUAGGAUCUUCCCCACUGGAGAAAGGAAUUGUUACACAUUAAAGCCAAAUGAAGGAAAGGGCAACACAUAUUUGGUCAGGGCUUCAUUUUGGUAUGGGGAUUAUGAUGGCAAGAAUCAAACCCCGGUAUUUGACCUCUACAUUGAUGUGAACUAUUGGACCACGGUGAACUCUUCAUCUUGGAUAUACGAAGAGAUUAUAUACACUCCUUCAAGAGACUAUAUACAAGUUUGCUUGGUGAAUACCAGCUCAGGAGUUCCAUUCUUAUCAGCUCUCGACUUGCGGUUGUUGGAUAAGUCGAUUUACCAAAUCAACUCUGGUGCACUUGUAACCAGAUGGAGAUAUAAUUUAGGGAGCAAUUACACGUACAGGUGAUUUUCUUUGUUAUUUCCCAUGAUAUUUGGAUGUUGACCGCAUUGAUCGAUCAAUAAAUGAUGUGUUAGCGUGUUCACAUUUUACUAAACAUGUGUUUUCGCAUUAUGCAACAGCAUGAACAUUAGAAAACAUGUUAUUCCCAAACCAAUUUGUGUCGACUUGUUCAUCAUCUUGCACUUACUGUUUUGAUCAUUUGAUUGGCAUUGGCAUGAAUAGACAUCCACAAGAUGUAUAUGAUCGCAUCUGGACGGGUCGGACUUAUGAAAAGUUCCAGUCAGUCAGCAACAUGACAGCCAUCGAGACAAGUACAAGUGAUGAUGCCUUUAAAGUUCCACCUGAAGUUUUGAUGACCGCCGUACAAACACAAUCUGUCACUGCUAAUUUGACUCUGCGAUGGUCAUCAAACAACUCUGCUAAUGUUUGGUUUAUGUACUUUCACUUUGUGGAAUUGCAACUGCGAAAGAAAGAUAUCCGAGAACUCACGGUACUUGUACAGAAUAAAGUCGUGAAAACCGUCAUGCUCGAGAACCAAAGGCCGGUGACCUUAAGCUCAUCUCCCAUAGGUGGACCAUCUUUGGACUUGACUAUUAAUGCGACAGACCGCUCUACUCUGCCACCUCUCCUCAAUGCCGUCGAGAUUUUCGCCGAGGCACAACUUCCACUUUCACCAACUUUUCUUGAUGACUGUAUGUAUACAUCUAUGCUCCACUUAUUUAUUUAUUUUUCAAUUCUAUUCGAUUUCCUUAUGAUUGUAGCUCUUUACGUGGUGGUUUAGUCAAUGCUAUGUAUGAUGUCAAGAGAACAUAUGAGGUGAUCGAGGCUAGCUGGCAGGGGGAUCCAUGUGUUCCUAGACAGUACUCAUGGAGCGGACUCCAUUGUAGCAACGAUAGUGCUCCGAGAAUCAUCUCGUUGUAAGUCCAUGACUACAUAUAUUCUCUGAAAACAUGCUGCAUACGAACGUCACAAGUCUCAAAAGAAAAGUUUUCUCAACAACAGCUUAGUACAGAUCAGUAAUACAUCAUGCGACUGAGGAAAUAAUUUCCAAAAUCAAGUCUCUAUAUUAAAGCCUUCCAUGGUAAAAGUUUUAACCAGUGGGAUUUUACUCUUAUAAAGUUAGCUGCGGAUGUGCAGGAACCUGAGCUUUAGUGGACUGAAAGGACGGAUAGAUACAUUGAUCUCCCAUUUGACAGCAGUCGAAUCCCUGUAUGCACAGUAGAAUUUCUUCCAUAUCGUUUACUUAAUUUGCACGGAAAGAGAAUGGAAAACACUAGCCCAAAAAAGCGACAUGCUUCUUUAUCAUUAGCAUGAUGUUCAUUAUCUACCUUAUCCUGUUUUAUGCAUUUUAAUAAGUAUAUGCUUAUGAAGUUUCUUAGUACUUUCUUGGCUUAAUUUCAGGGAUUUAUCCAACAACUCGUUAACUGGGUCCGUACCUGAGUUUUUAUCACAAAUGCCAAGCUUGAAAGUUCUGUGAGUCACUGAGCUUCUAAUGGAAAGAUUAUAUGUAGUUAUCUAUCUCAAGUAAAUGGCUAUCAACUUCUAAUAUGAAUACUAGCAGGAAUUUAAGCGGAAACAACUUGAACGGCUCUGUUCCUCAAACUCUCUUGAAGAAGAAGGCAGAUGGCACGUUGCUACUAAGGUUCGCUCAUUGCCACACUGUUGUAAUAUUACAUUUAAUCGCUUAUUAUUGUCUAUACAGUCUGCUUCUUCUUUCUGUACGUUUCUGCUCACUGAAGAAUGAAAAAGAUGGAAGUGGUACUUGCUAUGAAAAAGAUGGAAGUGGUACUUGCUUUUUUAGCUUUCUGUUUGAUCGAUUUAUGCAUGUAAUACGUACAGAGGGUGGGCUAUCCAUGAAUUCGUGGGCUAAUUUUUCGGCUGUGACAUGUACUAUCGAUGUUCUUUGACAGGUUAGAUGGAAAUCCAAAUCUUUGCCAAUCAGACAAUUGUCCAACCAGCAAUGUGCAGCCGACGAAAAAGGGCAUCUCUGUUGCUCCAAUCAUCGCAUCAGUUGCAGCUGUUCUGGUCUUGAUUUUAUUGGGAGCUCUUGCAGUAUUAUGGAUAAUCAGAAGAAGACAAAUCCAAAGUAACUCUUUUGCAUAUUGCAUGUGCAAGGAAAAUCAAAAGUUUUAUAUGUGAUUUUGUCAGUCCAGGUCGGGUUUUGAACCCCAAACUGGUUUAACUGGUCCAAUUGCUCGUGGCCCUUUCCACAAUUGGGCCUGGGAAAAGUGACCAUGAUACACUGACUUGAUCUCACUCAAGUAAUCACGUUUCUAUGUCAUCACCGUUUCAUGUUCAAAAAACUUGCACACAUUGUUGGUUAAUGAUAUGAUAAUUGCAACAAGGCUUACCCACAAGUCGUGUAAAUAAAAGUCAUUUCUGUGUAUACGUCAUUUGGUUGAGGUAACUUGCUUCACUCUUUCUGGUUUGUUUUCCACGACACAGUCUUUUCUUAUAAUAAGUCAUUACAUACAUCUUCCAGAUAGUUCUGUUUGCAGUGAAGGCAUAUAAUAUCAGACCGAAGAUCAUGACCCGAUAACUCUAUUCAGAUUCCUUAAUUACUUUUUCAUUUCUCCAGACGUUACUACCACUACUACGACUACCAACUCUACUGGAGGAUCUAUUGGGACAUUCAGGUUGUCAAAAAAUCAACCUUUUACACCUACUGAGGUUACAAGAAUUACUGAUGACUUCAGAACAGUAAUCGGAGAGGGAGGAUUUGGGAAAGUUUACUUUGGCAAACUUGAUGAUGGCACUGAAGUCGCAGUAAAAAUAUUAUCUCAAUCAUCAAAGCAAGGCUACAAGGAGUUUCGAGCAGAGGUUCGAAAAUUUAGUGCAACUAGAAUGAAUGUCACGUUUUCAAUUUUUUGGGUGUUCUACUCAUGACAAACUCUGAAACCUUGAGGUGCAGGCGCAACUCCUGAUGGUCGUUCACCAUAAAAAUCUGGUUUCACUCAUUGGAUAUUGCGAAGAAUAUGAAAGCAUGGCGCUGAUAUAUGAAUUCAUGUUCAAUGGAAAUGUUCGGCAACAUUUGUCAGGUUUGCCUGAUAUUUCCUUCUUCAAAUUCUAACUAGAUAAAGCAUUGCUUAGACUCUCACUAUAUGACAGCACGACAUGUGUCAAGUUAUAUUUUAUCUCAACUUUGUUCUUUGAUAAUUCAGGCGUUUGGAUUAAUCAGUCAAGUUAGGUAGUCAUUAAUAGCACAUUGGAAAUAAAAAUUAACUUUCUCAGCGAAUGAAUAAGAUGGUGAACAGGAUUUUAUAUCUUUCGUGAUUGGAAUACUUCCUUAAUCCUCUACUUUCAAGCAGCACAAAACGCGAAUGUUUUAAGUUGGAGCCAGAGACUACAAAUCGCAAUUGAUGCAGCUCAAGGUACAUAAAGUAGAUUGAUGAAAUCUUUGUUCACAUUUCCCCAAGUUGAGCAACACAUGACAUUUCUUUUUCUUUUUUGCCGUUGGUGCAGGGUUGGAGUACCUACAUAAUGGGUGCAAACCCCCCAUUGUCCAUAGGGAUUUAAAGACGCCCAAUAUUUUACUGGACAAAAACAUGCAAGCGAAGAUUGCUGAUUUUGGAUUAUCGAAGGCAUUUGUGACAGAGCUUGAGUCUCAUAUUUCAACUCACCCAGCAGGGACACCUGGUUAUCUCGAUCCAGAGUAAGCAACUCGAACUGACGACUCUGAAUACAAAUACUAUUCAAUUUAGGAAGCAGAAUAAUUGUACUAAUAUAGACCAUCGCGAGAGGCCCAUACGUUUUAUUCAUACAUGUUUAUGUUGAUAUGUAGAUACGUUUUUGAAAGGCAGUUUCAGCUAUUAUUGUACUGAUCAAAGCAACAAUUCCUUUUGAAUCUCAGGUUUCAUUCAUCUGGAAACCGGGGCAAGAAGAGCGAUGUGUACAGCUUUGGUGUAGUUUUAUUCGAGUUAAUCACAGGCCACCCGCCCAUUAUAAAAAGUCCAGAGGGCAGCAGCAUGCACAUACUUCACUGGGUGACUCCACUCAUAGAAAGAGGGGACAUCCAGAGCAUUGUCGAUCCGAGGUUGAAUGGCCAAUUCAGCAUCAAUUCUGCAUGGAAAGCAGUGGAAAUAGCCAUGUCGUGCGUACCAACGAUAGCGGUCCAAAGGCCAGACAUAGACCGUGUUCUGUCGGAACUGAAAGAAUGCUUGACGGCAGAGAUCAGUUCAGGAAGAAGACAAGGAAUGGGAAAUAAUAAGAGACAAAGUGAGUCUUUUAGUAUUACCUUAAUUGACGUUGAUAGCACUCCGAGUGCUCGUUAAACCAUACUUCGUCUAUAAAGGUUAUCAUGUCCACCUUCCUGGUAAAGUUGAUUAUUGGAUCGAACAGAUUAGAAAACUUAUGUACAAAGUCUGCGCUUGUGACUUUAAACUGCGAGUGCUUUAUAUUGUGGUUGUUGCUUUUAUAGCUUUGUGAAUAAAUAAGUGAAUGGUGAGUUCAAUUCACACUUUGGCCCCUCUUUACAAGGCUACCAACUGUACGGCUAUCAAGACGUUGAUAGCUAGCCUUGCUCAGUUAUCCAUGUGAACCCCUGUAUAAUGAAGCAGAGGAAAGAAGAAUUUCUUUCAUUGUGAUACUAUCUGUUUUACAAACCCAGCCAUCUUUUGACAAUCUUUGCCAACCACAACCGCCUAAGUACUAGCCACCUGGCCAUAAUGAGAAGCCCGAAGAGCAGCCCUCACCUCAUCCAAUCGGCGUCGCCUCUGGCCAAGCAAGAGGAUAUAGAGAGCAUCAUGGAUCAGAGGCUACAAGGGCGGUUCAGCACCUCAUCCGCUUGGAAACUAGUCAAGGCAGCAAUGCCGUGCUUGGCCAUGACUGCGAAUGAGAGGCUGGACAUGAAACCGCAUGCUGUGGGAGCUGAAGGAAUGCUCGACUCUUUCUAGGCAAGGUACCUGAUGGACCAAGGAAUUAUGUUCUGCUUCACCCUUCACGAUCGCUGCGGAUUUCCUGAAACUAUGCUUUGGUUUAGCUAUGAUCAAGUAAUUGGCACAGAAAAAAGUGGAAAAUUGAACGUAGCGCAUCAGAAUCGAGUGAUGGUCGCUCAAUUGAGUUGAAUCAUCGCCAUCAAUAUCAGCUCUACCACAAGUAAAAUAACAAAUAAGAAAGUGGAGUGGAACAAAAGAAGAACCUUUCUCGACUCUAGGUUGGCGAGUCAUGGAGAAACAAGAAGGCCUUGAAAAUCGGAGGAAGAGCAAGGUCUCCUGCUUUAUUAAAUAAAAAACUAUAUUGAUAUACCUAAAAUACCAAAACACCUAAAAUAUAUAAUAUCUACAUAUUUAUAUAUUUGGUUUAUAUUAUAAGAUAAAAUUAAAUUCGAAUAUAUAAAUAAAAAUAAGAUUAAAUUUAAAAAACUAAAUUUUAUUUUUUUAUAUUUUGAAUUUCUUAUUUUAGAAUUUAAAUAUUAUUUAUGUUGAAAUACAAUUUUAAAUUUGUUAAUUUAAAAUUUUUAUUAUUUUAAAAUAAUAACUUUCAUUUUUAUAGAAUUAGAAAUCAUAUUCACCUUUAUCACAUUUCCUCCAUGGAAUAAUUUUAUACGGAUCAUUCUUAUAUUCGAUUUUAUCUUAUUUUGAGUAGGCAUCAAACACAUGAUAUAAUAAAUAUUAUUUUAUCCUGAUCGUCAAAACUCAACCUACUAGUGAUUGGAGUAUAAGGUUACAGUUGGCACUGAAAGCUUAUGCGAUGGAGACUACAAAUCUUAAAUUUACUCAUUAUGAAAAAUCUCAAAUGUCAAUGUCACAAAUAUGUCUUAAGUGAAACUGAAAUAAAUAAUAUAUAUAUAUAUAUAUAUAUAUAUAUCAUAUACGUAUAAAUUUACACAAAAAAAUAUUUUUAAUAACACAAAAAUAAAUUUAAGGUAUUUUUUAGCAUAAGUACUUGCCCAAAAGAAAUUUAAAAAAAAAUUGAAAAAUCAAGUAGAAAAAUGGGAGCACAUUCGAGUUAGUCCUCUCUCUUGGCAUUCUCAAUAAGAAUAAUUGUGGCUCAUAUCAAGAGACUCACAUUGUUGAGGUAUAUGACACAUGCGAUUGGUGAGUCGACCUUCCAUUUAUUACUUACCAAAUUAUGAUUUUUUUGUGAUAUUAAUCUAAUUUAACAUAAACUAAUUGAGAGUAAAUUUGUCGCAAAUAUAUCAAUUUAGGAUUUAAAUUAGUUUGGAGUAAAUUUGUCACAAGUGUAUCGAUUUUGGAUUUUUCAUUAUAUCAACAAUUUUCCAAAUGUGCUCCCCAAAACAAUCACCUAACGCUUCAGCAUUUGCCCAAGAUCUUUAGAGCCUUAAAAUCCAUAUCAAAGCCCACCAAAUGCAGCCUCAGCUUGAACUACAUCUUCAGAAUCUUUGCCAUUGUUGUGAUGUUGAGAAGCGGAUAUAUCAUUCAUGAGAAAUCGAGAGGAGGGAUUCAAUAGCAAAGAGCACAAAAUCUGGACGCGUAUUUGGUACAGUCAUCUACAAAGUCACUCGGUAUACUUUUUUUUUAUCAAUCAAAGUCCCCGAACUUCCCACACCAACGGAAAUAAUUAUACCAUGCUACUUUCAUUGCAGGUUCAUUUUCCCCGAUGAAAGGAAGUUCUUAGAAAGUAAAGAAAAGUAUUUAAAAAAAAAAAACGAUAUUGCAAAGUAUAGUGAGAAUAGCUCACUGAAAUUGCCAUACUAAUUGACAUAUCAAAUUUUCAAUUCCAGCCCGAAGAGAGCGACAUGACAGAUGGGCCUCUAAACAUGUGUGCGCCAACUUCAAGAUCCGCUAAAAGUAUGCCACAUCACCUGGUGCACCAAUUUGUGAAACUGUAUUAGUUUAAGUAGCAUUAUUCAUUUUGAGCGGUUCAAAGAGUCUAACUUACAAAUGAAACUUACAAAUGAAGCAAACUCAUUGUACGUAUGGCACACUCAUCUCUUUUUCUUUAUAUUACCAUUAAAACAAAGUGUAGGAUUAAGUGCUUCAAGAAGCCAGGAUCUAAUUGGUGAAAUAUAGAACUGCAGAAAAGAAGAAAACUGUAGAUUUUUGCAAAGAUUGUCAUUGACAAAGAGAGAUUGGCAAGGAAAAAUGAAAACACCUUUGCCUUCACAAAAAUUAUACCAGGGCACCAACCUCAGUUUUCAUAUGAACUCGAAUGCACGCUUAGCAGAGUCGAGAGUAUUAGACAGAAGCAUAGCAAUUGUCACAGGUCCCACACCUCCUGGCACGGGAGUAAUGGCUGAGACAACUUUGAUUGCUUCUUCAUAGCAAACGUCUCCCGUGAUGCGGAAACCUUGAUCAACGCCAGGAUCCUGGACAUUCCAAACUCUUAAUUCAAGUCAAACCCAGAAGAAACACGUAAAGCUUCUCUGACAGUAAAUCGCUCAAAAUGGAAAUGGAGCAGAGCAAGCUAGUUCUUUCAAGCGGGACUGAGGAACUAUCAUUCGUUCUAACCUGUUAAAUGACCACUUCUACCACAGCAGCUACUUAAAUGGGAUCAUCAGCCUUAAUGAGCAUUUAUACAUCAAACCUAACUGGGAGUUGAAGUUCACCUCUGUCAGAGCGAGGACCUUACAGUUCUGAAUCUAUUUGCUAAUUUUAGCGACCAUGAUAGUGACCAUGAAUCAAAGCUUUCAUAGAGAAAUCCUGCAAUGGACUUUCAUCUUCUAAGGCUUUGCCCUUUGUCAAUCCUUGAUUGUUCACUCAUCAUUUCUCUUCUGAAAGACCCACCUUUUUUGAAGCCUUCCCCCUCAAACAUCUCUUUCCUGAGCAUAGUGCAGUGUAUCUACAUAUAUGCAUUGAGUAGAUCACAGAAGCAAGACACCCUGAAACAAUAAAAAACAAAAAGGCAAAGACCACUCUAAUUUUCCAUAGUUACACCUUGGCAGCCUCCAACUAUAGAUCCUACACUCUGCACCCCCAAAUUUCAAGACUUCACAUAAUGUAUCUUGAGAUUUCAAAAAGAGCUAAUCUUUGCACCCUCCAGUUUCCGUACUUUUUUUUAAUGGAGUUAAGCUUUAAGGAAGAAAGUCUAAGCUCAUGACACCUUAUGACACAAAGUGUAGGGUAGAGGUUAUGAGUGCCAACCAAGAGAAAGCUUAGUGUAAUUUUUUCAUUGUCCCUCAUAAAGAGAGUCCUGCCCCUGCUUUUCCAAUUUUUUCAACAGAAAAGAUCGAGACCACAGCAUCCUAUAACCUAUAUCUUACUUAUAAAGGUCAACGCACAUUACAAUGCAAACUUGCAUUCGAAUGAGGCCAUACAGUUUGAUAAUGCCAUUGGUGCUGAACUUUCAGUGUUUCUACCUGAACUUGAUUGGUCCCCAUAUCCACUACAACAGCUCCCGGUUUUAGCCAACUGCCACGGAUUAAAUUGGGUAUCCCCACAUCAGCAAUCACAAUGUCAGCUUCACUUGUAAUCUGUUCUGGAUUUUUGGUGAAAGAAUGUACUGUGCUGACUGUUGCAUGGUGCCUCUACCAGAGGAAUAUAUUAUAAGAGGAUGAUAUUGAGAGCAUCUUAAACAACCAGAAAACAGGCUUACCUGCAAUAGCAAAGAAGUGGGUAAUCCAACAAUCUUGCUUCUCCCGACUACAACAGCUCUCUUUCCCAUGAUUUCCACACCAGACCUCAACAAUAACUCAAUACAACCCUUAGGAGCACAAGGAAUAAAAAGUGGCUCCCUUCCUUUCAUGGCAAGAUUUCCCAUAUUGAGGGGAUGGAAGCCAUCCACGUCUUUCUCUGGGCUCACGAAAUUGACGAUUCUCUCCUCAUCCACAUGCUGGGCAAACAUCACAUUGAGGUGGCAUAAUGGUAAUAUGUCCUUACAAGAUGUGUUAAAUGAAAUAAUGCAGGGUAAUAUGUUGGUGAAAUUUUUCAAGUCAAUGAGGAGCUCUAGUCAUUGCAUCAUCCUCCACAAUGGAAGAUUAAAAGAUAUAGUAUUGAAAAACGAUUAUGUACAGGUUACACCAUUCAAUUACUCUACAGAAUGUGUCGGAACAUGCGAAGGUUCCAUUGGCAACUAUGCAUUAGCAGACUCAUUUGAUACGAAUUACCCAAGAGAUUCAAAAGAGAAAUGGGAAUGAAGGAUAAGUCUAGCUGUAGAAAUUACUUGUGGUAAAGGGAGUUGCACAAUAAUACCAUUAACUGAUGGGUUGUUAUUUAAUCUGGAAACAACACGCAGAACUUCAUCUUCUGUACAUUCUUCAGGAAACUCCUCUACAUAGGUUGUUAUCCCAACUUCUUCACAAGCUUUUAACUUGACACGAAUAAAAGUUCGUGAAUCCCUUCUUCCGCCAACCAACACAAUAGCCAAUCCCGGGGAUUUUACAAUGGUUUCCUUCAUUCUGCAAAUUUCAUUGGCUAUUUCUGCCCUAAUAGCUCUUGCAAUCGACUUCCCAUUUAUUACAUUAGCAGUUUGCCCAUUAGCUGCUUCAAGUAAAAAUCUUAAAACAGGUUAGUGUGCUAUGCAAAAGGUAAAUGAAGCAAGCAAAGAAGAAAGAGAAGUAGUCCCGCUCAAGCACCUUAUAUAGAGCUACAAGACAACAAGCUACCAAAACUCCACAGGUAGAAUAAUCAACCUUACAACUUGGACCGUAUGGAAUUCCUAAUUCUCAAAAGAGUUCUAUAGAAACCAUCCCCAACCAUCUCACUGAAAUCUUUAGUGCUUUUGGAGAGUGACUCUUGUUACGAAAAAGUCCAUCAGAUCCACUGAAGCAUUUUGUGGUCCUUCAUAUGUCAAUGACACAAAAGCAUAGUAAAAAGACGAUUUUCAAACGUAGUCCUACGCUUGCUUUCGCUUCUGCUUUUCCUACAUAUGCACAGAUCAAUUUUAUCCCCAACAAGUUUUAUUUGCAGAAGUCACAAAAGUUACCGAGGAAAGUUGUGUCUCAGCUUCACUCAAGAAGAACCCAACCUUUUUCUAGUACCAAAAAGAAAAACCCGUCAUUUUUUUCGCAGGAUUCAACAACUUAUAGUCGACACUGGAUUCACCAUUCUACUUCAUAGGAUCGCUAAUGAAUCCGAAACACGACGACGACGACGACAGCUACACCUCACGAUCAAAACUACGACGUCGAAAGCCAAAACACCCGAACCCAAAAACCGCUUCAAGGCAAUCAGCAUGCUGCCCAACGAAACAUGGAGAACAAGUCUCCGACAACGGAAAAGCAGAGGCAACGUGCAGAGGACACUCACGUCAACCCUCGAAGCGACCCCAACAGACUCGAGUAACACGCGUUUCACACGCCCGAGAGCAAGUCCAGGCUCAUCGCCGCAGGUGGCAAAAAGGGUGGCG
rnacentral:lncRNA from 1 species